UACAGAGGUCCCAAGCGUUGUUCGGAUUCACUGGGCGUAAAGGGUGCGUAGGCGGUUGUUUAAGUCUGUCGUGAAAUCCCCGGGCUCAACCUGGGAAUGGCGAUGGAUACUGGGCAGCUAGAGUGUGUCAGAGGAUGGUGGAAUUCCCGGUGUAGCGGUGAAAUGCGUAGAGAUCGGGAGGAACAUCAGUGGCGAAGGCGGCCAUCUGGGACAACACUGACGCUGAAGCACGAAAGCGUGGGGAGCAAACAGG
rnacentral:rRNA from 1 species